UACGUAGGGUGCAGGCGUUAAUCGGAAUUACUGGGCGUAAAGCGUGCGCAGGCGGUCUGCUAAGAGAGAUGUGAAAUCCCCGGGCUUAACCUGGGAACUGCGUUUCUAACUGGCAGGCUAGAGUGUGGCAGAGGGGGGGUGGAAUUCCACGUGUAGCAGUGAAAUGCGUAGAUAUGUGGAGGAAUACCGAUGGCGAAGGCAGCCUCCUGGGCCAACACUGACGCUCAUGCACGAAAGCGUGGGGAGCAAACAGG
rnacentral:rRNA from 1 species